GAUUGCACUUUAUCAUCGACCUCUCUGCAAUCGCGGCUG
rnacentral:ncRNA from 1 species